UACAGAGGUCCCAAGCGUUGUUCGGAUUCACUGGGCGUAAAGGGUGCGUAGGCGGCCGAGUAAGUCUGACGUGAAAUCUCUGGGCCUAACCCGGAAACUGCGUUGGAAACUACUUGGCUAGAGGAAUGGAGGGGAGACUGGAAUACUUGGUGUAGCAGUGAAAUGCGUAGAUAUCAAGUGGAACACCAGUGGCGAAGGCGAGUCUCUGGACAUUUCCUGACGCUGAGGCACGAAAGCCAGGGGAGCAAACGGG
rnacentral:rRNA from 1 species